rnacentral:rRNA from 1 species
UCCGUAGGCGGUGCGGCAAGUCGGAAGUGAAAUCUCUGGGCUUAACUCAGAGGCUGCUUCCGAAACUGCCGUGCUCGAGUGCGAGAGAGGCAAGUGGAAUUGCGGGUGUAGCGGUGAAAUGCGUAGAUAUCCGCAGGAACAUCCGAGGCGAAAGCGGCUUGCUGGAUCGCAACUGACGCUGAGGGACGAAAGCUAGGGGAGCAAACAGGAUUAGAUACCCUGGUAGUCCUAGCCCUAAACCAUCAGGACUUGGGGUUUGCCCUGUACGGGGCAAGUCCCGGAGCUAACGCGUUAAGUCCUGCGCCUGGGGAUACGGUCGCAAGGCUGAA